GACUGGGUAGUGCAGUGGUUAGCACACCUCACCGGAUUAGAGGAGACCUGGGUUCGACUCCCGGCUUGGUCA